GAUGAAGAACGCAGCGAAAUGCGAUAAGUAGUGUGAAUUGCAGAAUUCAGUGAAUCAUCGAAUCUUUGAACGCACAUUGCGCCCCUUGGUAUUCCAUGGGGCAUGCCUGUUCGAGCGUCAUUUGUACCCUCAAGCUUUGCUUGGUGUUGGGUGUUUGUCCCGCGUUGCGCGUGGACUCGCCUUAAAGCGAUUGGCAGCCGGCAUAUUGGCCUUGGAGCGCAGCACAUUUUGCGCUUCUAGUCAUGAAUGUUGGCGUCCAUUAAGCCUAUACAUUUGCUCUUGACCUCGGAUCAGGUAGGGAUACCCGCUGAACUUAAGCAUAUCUAAGCGGAGGA
rnacentral:misc_RNA from 1 species